UGAGAACGUAUCCGUGAAGUUAACGCCG
rnacentral:piRNA from 1 species